rnacentral:rRNA from 1 species
AUUGAACGCUGGCGGCAGGCCUAACACAUGCAAGUCGAACGAGUAGUGGACGGGUGAGGAAUGUCUGGGAAAUUGCCUGAUGGAGGGGGUUCACUACGGGGAACGGUAGGUAAUACCGCAUACCAUCGGAUGUGCCCCGAUGGGAUUGGCUAGUAGGUGGGGUAAAGGCUCACCUGGGCGACGAUCCCUAGGUGGGCUGAGAGGAUGACCAGACACACUGGCACUGAGACAAGGGCCAGACUCCUCAGGGAGGCAGCAGUGGGGAAUAUUGCACAAGUGGCGCAAUCCGGAUGCAGCCAUGCCGCGUGUAUGAAGAAGGCCUUCGGGUUGUAAAGUACUUUCAGCGGGGAGGCGUUACCCGCAGAAGAAGCACCGGCUAACUCCGUGCCAGCAGCCGCGGUAAUAC